UUUUAAAGAGCAAAACCACAAACCAGAGGAGUGGGGAGCGGGUGAGGAGUUGCCAAGGAUACAUGACAUAAGAAUAGUGAAACAUUCCAGAGAAACCCACCCUGAAUGCUUAGUGUCAUUUGGAAAU